rnacentral:misc_RNA from 1 species
UUAAGUUCAGCGGGUAGUCCUACCUGAUUUGAGGUCAAGUUUGUCAAAGGUUUUUUUCCAAGUUUUAAGCAGCGCAAUCUGUCUCAUGCAGCAUACCAAAGGCAUAGAUAGUUAUCACACCUACAGUAGCAGCUCAGAUGCCACUAAUACAUUUCAGAGGAGCUGACCCUUCUUUUGCAAAAAAGGCCUGCAAAGAUAUU